rnacentral:rRNA from 1 species
CCAAUAGCGCAUAUUAAAGUUGUUGCAGUUAAAAAGCUCGUAGUUGAAUUUCGGGAUCAGAUUGUCGGUCGUGCCUCGGUACGCACUGGCAUUAUUGGUUCCUACCUUCUGAAGAACCGCGAUGUCAUUAAUUUGGUGUCGUGGGGAAUCAGGACUGUUACUUUGAAAAAAUUAGAGUGUUUAAAGCAGGCGCACGCUUGAAUACAUUAGCAUGGAAUAAUGAAAUAGGACGUUUGAUUCUAUUUUGUUGGUUUCUAGGAUCGACGUAAUGAUUAAUAGGGAUAGUUGGGGGCAUUAGUAUUCAAUUGUCAGAGGUGAAAUUCUUGGAUUUAUUGAAGACUAACAACUGCGAAAGCAUUUGCCAAGGAUGUUUUCAUUAAUCAAGAACGAAAGUUAGGGGAUCGAAGACGAUCAGAUACCGUCGUAGUCUUAACCAUAAACUAUGCCGACUAGGGAUCGGAUGAUGUUAAUUUUAUAAUGACUCAUUCGGCGCCUUACG